rnacentral:rRNA from 1 species
UUACCUGGUCCGGACAUCAAAAGGAUAGACAGACUGAAGUUCUCUCUUGAUAUGGUGAUUGGUGGUGCAUGGCCGUUCUUAGUUCGUGGAGUGAUCUGUCAGGCCAAUUCCGGUAACAAACGAGACCACAGUCUCCAUUUGACGAGUCGGAGAAGACGUCGGCACUGCGUGGGGUUGUUUCCACAGCACCAUACGGCGUUGACGUUGAAGGUAUCGUGGGCAGCACUGGUGUGCUGGCGGAGGUGGCAACAUCGAUGCUGGCGCGCUUGCUGUGAUCUCUACGCUCCCUCCAGCUUAGCUGCUCAUCGCUCGCAAGAGUUUUGUGCUGUAUCAUAGAUAGACUACGGAACAUAUUACAAAAAUCCGAGGAAGUGUGGCUAUAACAGGUCUGUGAUGCCCUUAGAUGUUCAGGGCUGCACGCGCGCUACAAU